ACCGCAAACCGACACAGGUGGACUGGGGGAGUACCCUAAGGUGAUCGAGAGACAAAUCCUCAAGGAACUCGGCAAAAAAACUAUCCGUAACUUUGGGAGAUGGAUUGUCCAGCGCAAGCUGGAUUGCAACUAAAGUUUGUUAGUCGACUGUUUAUCAAAAACACAGGUCCGUGCAAAGACGAAAGUCGAAGUAUACGGGCUGACGCUUGUCCAGUGCCGGUAAGUUAAGCGGCGUUGUGCUUCGCACAAACGACUUAAGACUAAAGACUGAAAACUUAAAUUAAUUUUUAGUAUUAGGUUUUAUGUUUUGAGUUUUUUGCGCGUAAGCUCCGGUGAACGGCAGCAGUAACUAUAACUGUUCUAAGGUAGCGAAGUUCCUUGCCAGGUAAGUUCUGGCCCGCAUGAAUAGCGUAACGAGCUAACAACUGUCUUGAGGGUUUACUCGGCGAAAUAGCGAUGGCUGUGAAGACGCGGCCUUCUUCCACAUGGACAAAAAGACCCCGUGGAGCUUUACUGCAGGUAAGACAUUGCUUUCAUAUUUUUUGAUUGUCUAGAAUAGGUGGGAGCCGCAAGGCGAAAGUGUAAUACCACUCGUUGAAAAAUGUGAGGCUUACUUUACACGUCUGAAGACGACGUGGAGGAACGUGUUUGCCGGGCAGUUUUACUGGGGCGGUACCCUGCUAAAAUGUAACGCAGGGACACAAAGGUUGGCUAGCUACGGAUGGAAAUCGUAGUGAUAGCGUAAAAGUUUAAGCCAGCUUGACUGCAAGGGAGACAUCCCGAGCAGGUACGAAAGUAGGUUUUAGUGAUCCUCCGAUGCACAAUGGGUGUGCACGGAGCUUAAUGGAUAAAAGCUACCCCGGGGAUAACAGAGUAGUCGCACCAGAGCGUUCCUAGCGACGGUGCGGUUCGCUACCUCGAUGUCGGCUUGACCCAAUUGGGUCUGGGCCCUCAGGAGAGUAAUCUCUUGAGCAAAUUCGGCUUAUAACGGUGGAGCCCUCUUGACAUUCGGUUAAACUUCGGUUUAACUGAAUCGAUAUGGGUAAUACCGUGGGAAGUCGAGAAGCAGAAAAAUUGAGUGAGCAGCAAAAAGAAAUUUUGGUUGGUAAAUUGCUUGGAGAUGGUUGCCUUGAAAUUAAUGGAUUUAAUCCUAGAUUGAAGAUUGAUCAAACCCAGGCACAAAAAGAGUAUGUCUUUUGGCUAUAUAGGAAAUUUACCUCCGUUGUUGGUAAAGAACCAGGUUUAUUAAAAUUUUUUGAUAAAAGAUUCAAUAAAAUUUAUUAUCAUUGGCGAUUUGCAACAAAAAGUUUGCCGAUAUUCAAACGUUGGCACAAAACUUUUUAUAGAGGAAAAAUAAAAGUAGUUCCAAAGAAUAUAUUUGACUUACUUACACCAUUAUCUCUUGCUGUUUGGUAUAUGGAUGACGGAUAUCGUCGCAGGGAUUGCAAUGGUGUUUACCUUUGCACCUCCGCGUACAGCGUCUCCGAGCAAAAACUUUUGCAGAAUGCCUUAAAAAAGAAGUUUUCUCUGGAAAGCAGGCUGCAUCAUGCCGCGGGAAAUGUAAAAAUUUACAUUCCAGCAAGUCAUGGAAAGAUCUUUUGCGAGAUCAUCAAGAAACAUAUACUACCAAAUUUUUCAUAUAAGCUUCUCUGACCCCGUAACGACUGAGCUCGAAAGAGCAAGAUAUAAAGCUUUUGCUUUGUAUAAUACGCCGGACUCCCAUUUUUGGGAGAUGAUAUAGUCUAUACCUCUGGAAACAGGGGAUUCAUAUGCAUCACAUCCUGGCGCUGAAGAAGGUGCCAAGGGUCGGUCUGUUCGCCCGUUAAAGUGAUACGCGAGCUGGGUUCAGAACGUCGUGAGACAGUAAAGAUUAUAGGACAUAUUAAUCUUGUUUGAGCUGUCUUCCUAUAUACGUUUUUGAGCCAAAAUCGUGUAAUAAGAGGUAUCUGUUAUUAGUUUUAUAGGUCCCGAUUUUUCGGGAAUAAAUCUGGCUAUUUGCUGGAAACACUCAGUAUCUGAAAGUACUUUUUAAGUAACAAUUUUUCAGUGGAGCCAAUCAGCAGGAAAGACUCUGAUUUAAUUAUCAGAGAAUCCUCACAGACUAUACGCCAGAGUAUGCUUUGCAUACAAGAUAUAGUCGGACCCCUUUGGCGACAAAGGGAGUUAGCAAGAAUUGAUAAUUUGCUAACCACAUUUGUGUGUAACAAUUAUGUCGGACUCUAUCCUGUGGAAGCGUUGGAAUCUUGAGGAGAGCUGGGGACAGUACGAGAGGACCUCCCUGGGGAAAUCCCUGGUGUGCCGGUUAUUGCGUCAGCAGUAACGCCGGGUAGCUAUAUUUCCAAUGGAUAACCGCUGAAAGCAUCUAAGUGGGAAGCCAACUCCGAGAUUAGGAUUCCGUAUUAGACCCCCGGAAGAAUACCGGGUUAAUCGGCAGGCGCUGGAAGGUCCGUAAGGACUUAAGGCUACCUGUGCGAAUAGGUCGAUUUCUUGCGGUC
rfam:Microgenomates (Woesebacteria) bacterium GW2011_GWB1_45_5 TX13_C0004, whole genome shotgun sequence.